GAAACGUGGAUUAACACCCCAUAGUACUUUUAUCCUGCAUAGGAUGUGAGUUAAAUGUUUAAGGUAUCGGAUGGGCAUGCGUCCUAUUAGUUAGUUGGCGGGGUAACAGCCCACCAAGACGAUGAUAGGUAGGGGUUCUGAGAGGAAGGUCCCCCACAUUGGAACUGAGACACGGUCCAAACUCCUACGGGAGGCAGCAGUGAGGAAUAUUGGUCAAUGGACGUAAGUCUGAACCAGCCAAGUCGCGUGAGGGAAGACUGCCCUAUGGGUUGUAAACCUCUUUUAUAAGGGAAGAAUAAGUUCUACGUGUAGAAUGAUGCCUGUACCUUAUGAAUAAGCAUCGGCUAACUCCGUGCCAGCAGCCGCGGUAAUACGGAGGAUGCGAGCGUUAUCCGGAUUUAUUGGGUUUAAAGGGUGCGUAGGCGGUUUAUUAAGUUAGUGGUUAAAUAUUUGAGCUAAACUCAAUUGUGCCAUUAAUACUGGUAAACUGGAGUACAGACGAGGUAGGCGGAAUAAGUUAAGUAGCGGUGAAAUGCAUAGAUAUAACUUAGAACUCCGAUAGCGAAGGCAGCUUACCAGACUGUAACUGACGCUGAUGCACGAGAGCGUGGGUAGCGAACAGGAUUAGAUACCCUGGUAGUCCACGCCGUAAACGAUGGUCACUGGUUCUGUGCGAUAUAUUGUACGGGA
rnacentral:rRNA from 1 species